UUCAGAGUCAACCAAAUUACUGUGAUUAUGGAACCAGACCAGGAUAUAUCUGUGUUAUUGGCAAGGCCAGCAUUUAUUGCGAGUACAUAAUUGUCUUCAACAGAAUGACUUGCUGGACCAUUUCAGAGGGCAGUUAGGAGUCAACACCAUUACUGUGGGUUUUCAGUCACACAAAUAUGGGCACACCCUGGGAGUGCCUGAAUACACUGAAUUGAUACUGCCUUGAUGUCACACAAGUUUGAUGCCAGAUUUACGAAUUUGGACAUUGCAGGUCCUGGUAAAGCUAGUC